GAACGCACCUUGCACCCUUUGGCAUUCCGAAGGGUAUGCUCGUUUGAGUGUCAUUGUACUCUCACACUCCCAAUACUUUUGGAUUGGGAGCGGUGGACUUGGGUGUUGCUGCUUUACUGUGGCUCACCUCAAAUGGAGUAGUGCAACUCUCGGUUGGACAUAGUACGGCGUGAUAAGUGUCUUCGCCGGCGCCUCAUUAGAGGGUGGCCGAUCGGGAGCUCUGUGCUUCAAACCGUCUUCGGACAACAUCUGACAACUUGACCUCAAAUCGAGUAGGACUACCCGCUGAACUUA
rnacentral:misc_RNA from 1 species